ACUGAGCAGUUGGUUUUCAUUGCCGCAUUGAAUAUCAGCUAUGAGUUAACUCAGGAAAAAGCGAAGACCCGCGAUUACGCGGCGAGCAUGGAACAACGUAUUCGGAUGCUACAACAGACCAUCGAACAGGCGUUGCUUGAUCAAGGUCGCAUAACCGAAAAAACGGGCCAAAACUUUGAAUAACACUUUUCGCUUUACUAUGGUAAAGUGAUUGUGAAAACAGAAUUUCUCUGAGAUGUUUGCAAGCGGGCCAGUCCCCUGAGCCGAUAUUUCAUACCACAAGAAUGUGGCGCUCCGCGGUUGGUGAGCAUGCUCGGUUCGUCCGAGAAGCCUUAAAACUGUGACGACACAUUCACCUUGAACCAAGGGUUCAAGGGUUACAGCCUGCGGCGGCAUCUCGGAGAUUC
rnacentral:sRNA from 1 species